rnacentral:misc_RNA from 1 species
UUCACUGGUAGUCUGCACAAUGAUUCUAGGCUCUGUGACAGUCCUAUGUGAAGAAGUUGGUUCUGUUACCUUGACUUCCGUGUUUCUUCUCUUGGGAUCACGUUCAUCUUCAUCAUUUUCAUCUAUACCAGUUUCAGCAUCACCGACUUCCUCACUGUCGCUUGUCCCAGAUAAAAGUUCAGGCGUAGCCUGGCUUGAUUCCUGAUCCUUCCUAUCUUUAGAUUUGUUCACAUUUCCAAAUUCAGAAGCUAGUUCAAAAUUAUUCUGAUUACUUGAAUUUCCAUUCAAGCUUCCAGCAUCC